GCAGACUGUCAGUAUGGUUAUCAAGAGAAGACGUCUUCACAAUAUCAUCAUUGAUAAAAUGCUUUGAAUCAUGUUCCAGAAAAUCCAACAUUACAGGACUUUUGACCACAGAGGUUUAUGACUUUGGUGAUUGGAUGAAUCUCAACAAUAUGAGGAACCAUUCGCAACCCCAUGUAUUUAAAAUAAUAAGAGACCAAAAUGGAAAAGCAACAAUCAAAUACAAGAAAUGGACAACUGACAAAACAUGGCAAAACUGUACAGGAAGCGAAGACUACCUCAUAAAAGAUGAUCCAAAAUCAGAAAGGCCAGUGAGUACCUUGCAACCAAACACAGAAAGAAUGGACAUAGACAGAAUUAAAAAGGACUUAGAGGCAGUUGCAAGGUAAAUACGUAUUGGUUUAACCAUUAAUUUAAAAAUAACAGUUCCAUUUGAUAGUGUUCUAGGGAUCCAGAUAAUUGUUCAUGCAAUUAGUUUC